UACGAAGGGGGCUAGCGUUGCUCGGAAUCACUGGGCGUAAAGCGCACGUAGGCGGGUCUCUAAGUCAGGGGUGAAAUCCUGGAGCUCAACUCCAGAACUGCCUUUGAUACUGGGGAUCUCGAGUCCGGGAGAGGUGAGUGGAACUCCGAGUGUAGAGGUGAAAUUCGUAGAUAUGGGGAGGAACACCGGUGGCGAAGGCGGCCAUCUGGACGGCUAUUGACGCUGAGACGCGAAAGCGUGGGGAGCAAACAGG
rnacentral:rRNA from 1 species